rnacentral:rRNA from 1 species
AUGGAGAUGAAACCCAAAAGAUUUUCGUUGGGGCGUAACCCUCUCAGCGACGCGCCACAUCGGAACCCGGGUGUGGUGGAAAAUGGGCAAGGGCCGGGCCGUCACCCCCCAAGUGGCGCGCCGUAUCUUGAUCCAGAUACGGUGGCAAGUGAGCGAGGAUCGGGUCGUCGCAUCCUUAGUGGCGUGCUACAUCGGCGCCCGGAUGUAGUGGAAAAUGAGCAAGGGUCUUCGCAUUUGACUCGACGAGUGCGAAGGGUAAGGAAGCUAGCCGAGCCUAGGAGGAUUCGCUUAGGCAGCUGGAACGUAGGGUCUCUGACAGGGAAGCUUCGGGAGCUAGUUGAUGCAGCAGUGAGGAGAGGUGUUGAUAUCCUUUGCGUCCAAGAAACCAAAUGGAGAGGACAGAUGGCGAAGGAGGUGGAGGAUACCGGCUUCAAGCUGUGGUACACGGGGACGGCUGCAAACAUAAAUGGCGUAGGCAUCUUGAUCAACAAGAGCCUCAAGUAUGGAGUGGUAGACGUCAGGAGACGUGGGGACCGGAUUAUCCUGGUCAAGCUGGUAGCUGAGGACUUGGUUCUCAAUGUUAUCAGCGCAUAUGCCCCGCAAGUAGGCCACAAUGAGAACACCAAGAGGGAGUUCUGGGAAGGCUUGGAAGACAUGGUUAGGAGUGUACCGAUUGGUGAGAAGCUCUUCAUAGGAGGAGACCUCAAUGGCCACGUGGGUACAUCUAACACAGGUUUUGAAGGGGCACAUGGGGGCUUUGGCUAUGGCAUCAGGAAUCAAGAAGGAGAAGAUGUCUUAAGCUUUGCUCUAGCCUACAACAUGAUUGUAGCUAACACCCUCUUUAGAAAGAGAGAAUCACAUCUGGUGACUUUUAGUAGUGGCCAACACUCUAGCCAGAUUGAUUUCAUCCUCUCGAGAAGAGAAGAUAGGCAUGCGUGCCUAGACUGUAAGGUGAUACCUGGGGAGAGUGUUGUACCCCAGCAUAAGCUGGUGGUUGCUGACUUCCGCUUUCGGAUUCGUGUCCAGCGGGAUAAGCGUGCCAAGGUCGCUAGAACGAAGUGGUGGAAGCUCAAGGGGGAGGUAGCUCAGGUGUUCAAGGAGAGGGUAUUUAAGGAGGGCCCUUGGGAGGAAGGAGGGGAUGCGGACAAUGUGUGGAUGAAGAUGGCGACUUGCAUUCGUAAGGUGGCCUCGGAGGAGUUUGGAGUGUCCAGGGGAAGGAGAAGCGAAGAUAAGGAUACCUGGUGGUGGAAUGAUGAUGUCCAGAAGGCGCUUAAAGAGAAGAAAGAUUGCUUCAGACGCCUAUACCUGGAUAGGAGUGCAGACAACAUAGAGAAGUACAAGAUGGCGAAGAAGGCCGCAAAGCGAGCUGUUGGUGAAGUAAGGGGUCGGGCAUAUGAGGACCUCUACCAACGGUUAGGCACGAAGGAAGGUGAAAGGGACAUCUAUAAGAUGGCUAAGAUCCGGGAGAGGAAGACGAGGGAUAUUGGCCAAGUCAAAUGCAUCAAGGACGGAGCAGGCCAACUCUUGGUGAAGGACGAAGAGAUUAAGCAUAGAUGGCGGGAGUACUUCGACAAGCUGUUCAAUGGGGAGAAUGAGAGUUCUACCAUUGAACUGAAUGACUCCUUUGAUGAGACCAGCAUGCGUUUUGUGCGGCGCAUCCAGGAGUCUGAGGUGAAGGAGGCUUUAAAAAGGAUGAAAGGAGGCAAGGUGAUGGGCCCUGAUUGUAUCCCCAUUGAGGUGUGGAAAGGUCUCGGGGACAUAGCGAUAGUAUGGCUAACCAAGCUUUUCAACCUCAUUUUUCGGGCAAACAAGAUGCCAGAAGAAUGGAGACGGAGUAUAUUAGUACCAAUCUUCAAGAACAAGGGGGAUGUUCAGAGUUGUACUAAUUACCGUGGAAUUAAGCUGAUGAGCCAUACAAUGAAGCUAUGGAAGAGAGUCAUUGAGCACCGCUUAAGAAGAAUGACAAGCGUGACCAAAAAUCAGUUUGGUUUCAUGCCUGGGAGGUCGACCAUGGAAGCCAUUUUCUUGGUACGACAACUUAUGGAGAGAUAUAGGGAGCAUAAGAAGGACUUGCAUAUGGUGUUCAUUGACUUGGAGAAGGCCUAUGAUAAGAUACCGCGGAAUGUCAUGUGGUGGGCCUUGGAGAAACACAAAGUCCCAGCAAAGUACAUUACCCUCAUCAAGGACAUGUACAAUAAUGUUGUGACAAGUGUUCGAACAAGUGAUGUCAACACCGAUGACUUCCCGAUUAAGAUAGGACUGCAUCAGGGGUCAGCUUUGAGCCCUUAUCUUUUUGCAUUGGUGAUGGAUGAGGUCACAAGGGGUAUACAAGGAGAUAUCCCAUGGUGUAUGCUCUUUACGGAUGAUGUGGUGCUAGUUGACGAUAGUCGGACGGGGGUAAAUAGGAAGUUAGAGUUAUGGAGAAAAACCUUGGAAUCGAAAGGGUUUAGGCUUAGUAGAACUAAAACCGAGUACAUGAUGUGCGGUUUCAGUACUACUAGCUGUGAGGAGGAGGAGGUUAGCCUUGAUGGCCAGGUGGUACCUCGGAAGGACACCUUUCGGUAUUUGGGGUCAAUGUUGCAGGAGGAUGGGGGUAUUGAUGAAGAUGUGAACCAUCAAAUCAAAGCCGGAUGGAUGAAGUGGCUCCAAGCUUCUGGCAUUCUCUGUGACAAGAGAGUGCCACAAAAGCUAAAAGGCAAGUUCUACAGGACGGCGGUUCGACCCGCAAUGUUGUAUGGCGCGGAGUGUUAG